rnacentral:sRNA from 1 species
UAUUGUAGGCGGCGUUGGAUAAGAAAUAGAUAGUUAAACCUCCUCUACGUUGCAUUACUCGUAUUAAAGUCAAUCUUCGUCCUGUAGUUUUAAAUUUCCAUUUUUACCCGCACCAUCCCGUUCAGCGCGAUAGCGAUGACGGACAUUUAUAGAUUUAUUUUCAGGAUAUUAUUAUGUCUAAUACAGUAACUGGUACCGUUAAGUGGUUUAACGAAGCAAAAGGUUUUGGUUUUAUCGAGCAGCAAGGUGGCGCAGACGUAUUUGCUCACUUCAGCGCUAUCAGCGGUAACGGCUUCAAAACGCUGACCGAAGGCCAACAAGUUUCUUUCUCAAUCACCCAAGGUCCUAAAGGUCCUCAGGCUGAGAACAUCGUUGCACUGUAAGCCAGUGAAAUGAUGCCAAGUACUGAAUCAGUACUUAAGCAAUAAAAAAGGAGCGAUUAUCGCUCCUUUUUUU